UACGUAGGGUGCGAGCGUUGUCCGGAAUUAUUGGGCGUAAAGAGCUCGUAGGCGGUUUGUCACGUCGGAUGUGAAAUCCCGGGGCUCAACUCCGGGUCUGCAUUCGAUACGGGCUGACUAGAGUUCGGUAGGGGAGACUGGAAUUCCUGGUGUAGCGGUGAAAUGCGCAGAUAUCAGGAGGAACACCGGUGGCGAAGGCGGGUCUCUGGGCCGAUACUGACGCUGAGGAGCGAAAGCGUGGGGAGCGAAC
rnacentral:rRNA from 1 species